rnacentral:rRNA from 1 species
AUGCAGGCGACUCCAACCACCCCGGCGCGGAAGAGGGGCGAGGCUGAUAGUUCGGGGGCCAAGAUGUCUCCGGCGGGCUGCAAAACUCCGGAUCUGGCGGCCAGUUUGUCUGCAAGGUUGGGUAGUAUGACGCUGCUGGACAAGGAGGCUGAUGGGAUGGUGUUUGAGGACGAAGAUCAAUCUUACCCCAAGGCUUCUCGGUGGUCUGCGGUUGGCAAGUACGAUUUUCCGCUGCUAGACCUUGACACAAGGUUUAUCCUAUGGCAAGUCAAGAUGCGGGCGUCGUUGGCACAGUCCAACUAUGAUGAAGCACUGGAUAGUUUUGGGAAGAACCGAAUUCAGGACUGGACUGCUAAGGAGAAAAGAAUUGAUUGUAAGGCUUUGUCACAAAUUCAACUUCAUUUGCAUAAUAAUAUUUUACAGGAAGUUUUGAGCGAGAAAACUGCCGCCGCUCUAUGGUUAAAGCUGGAAGGGAUUUGUUUGACUAAAGAUCUCACCAGCAAGAUGCAUCUGAAGCAAAAAUUAUUCCUGCACAGGUUACCCGAGGGAGGUAAUGUUUUGAAUCAUAUCUCAGAAUUUAAAGAGAUCAUAUCUAAUCUAGCUGCAAUGGAGGUUAAGUAUGAAGAGGAAGAUACUGCUUUAAUGUUACUUUGUUCACUGCCAAGUUCUUAUACCAAUUUUGGAGACACCAUAUUAUACAGUCGUGAUACUCUCAUGCUUAAUGAAGUUUAUGAAGCUUUGAACUCCAAGGAUAAGAUGAAGUUAAUGGUGCCUCAUGAUGGUUCAAGUUCACCCCAAGCCGAGGGAUUAUCUGUUCGUGGCAGGACAAAUGAGAAGAACUCCAAUACUGGAAACGGAGGCAAAAGUAAAAACGGCUACAGGGGUCGGUCACAAUCCAGAGACAAGAAGUAUUACAGAUAUUGCAAGAGAGAUGGGCAUGACAUCUUAGAGUGUUUCAAGUUGCAGAACAAGGAAAAGAGAAAAGGUAACAAACAAGGUGAAAAUUCUGCUAACGUUGCUCGUGAUGAUAGUUCCGAUGAUGCUCUUGUUGUUAUUGCUGGAUGUGCUGAGACCAAUGAUGAGUGGGUACUUGACACUGCAUGUACUUUCCAUAUGUGCCCGCAUAGAUAUUGGUUUACUACUUUUGAUUUCACUACUUCUGCUGGUUUCGUUUUGGGUUUUGAUAAUUCACCAUGCAAGAUUGAAGGCAUAGGUACCGUUCGAAUCAAGAUGUUUGAUAGCACAAUCAGAACUUUGACAGAUGUUCGGUAUAUUCCGAAGAUGAAGAGAAAUCUUAUCUUUGUUAGUGCCCUUGAUGCAAAGGGGUACAAGUAUUCAGGUGGAGAUAGUGUUUUGAAAGUCACCAGAGGCUCCCUUGUUGUGAUGAAAGGUGACUUAAGUUCGACCAAUGGUAUUUAUUACCCUCGAGGUUCUACCGUUUUAGGUAACGCUACUCCAGUUAUUUCAAAGAAUUCUGAUUGUGAUGCUGCUAACCUUUGGCAUAUGCGUCUUGGACAUAUGAGUGACCACGGUUUGGCAAAGUUAAAUAAGAGAGGUCUCCUUUAUGGAUAUGAACCUGGUAAAUUGAAUUUUUGUGAGCAUUUUAUCUUCAGCAAGCACAAGAGGGUGAAUUUCAACACUUCGAAUCAUACAACAGAAGGUAUUCUUGAUUAUGUCCAUUCUGAUUUAUGGGGACCAUCUCGCAAGAAGUCAUUAGGUAGUGCAAGUUACAUGCUGACUAUUAUUGAUGAUUAUUCGAGAAAAGUUUGGCCUUAUUUCUUGAAGCAUAAAUAUGAAGCAUUCUCAGCAUUUAAGGAGUGGAAGAUUAUGAUUGAGAGGCAAACUGAAAGGAAGUUGAGAGUUUUUGGUUGCACUGCUUAUGCUCAUGUUGAUAAUGGAAAGUUGGAGCCUAGGGCUGUUAAGUGCAUCUUUCUUGGUUAUAAGUCUGGUGUUAAAGAUUUUAAAUUGUGGAAUCCUGAAACCCAGAAGGUUGUUAUUAGCAGAAACGUUGUCUUUAAUGAAUCUGCUAUAUUACAUGAUGUUCCAUCUACUAAUGUUCCUGUUGAGAGUGAACAACAUGCUACUAUUCAACAUCCUACUGUUCAGGUGGAGCAUGUUAUUGAUUCAGGUGAUACAUCUAGUAAUGAAAAUGUUGAUGCACAUGACGAACCCGUCAUUGAUGAUGAACAUGUCACUCCCACUCCAAAUCAGCCUAUUGUUCCACCCAGUUGGAAUCUUGCACGUGACAGAGUUAGGCGGGGUAUUAAUAAACCUAACAGGUUAAUUGAAGAGUGCAAUAUUGUUUCUUUUGCUUUAUCUGUUGCAGAAGAAAUUGAAGGACUAACAGUUUUGGCAGCUCAUAGAGUGGUGAAGGUUCUCGGGCUCGCUUGGAGCACCCGAGAGUGCGAGACAUUCCCUCAAAACCAAAUCUCAGCUCUGACUUUGUUUCCUCUGGUGAGUGCCGCACUGGCGGCAGCUCUAGACAGGGAAGGGAAUCACAUGAUAACAAGUAUUCGGAUGCAAGCCAAUUUAGGGGGUCCCAGCAGGAGGAUCUUCGUUAUUGUUUGGAGCAGCGGCGGGAUAGAGAUCUCAGAGACAAACUGGUCGAACAAAGUAAUCACAGAAGGCCAGAUACGAACAGGCCAGUUGGAAGAAGGGAGGGAUUCGGUGGCUACAAAGGCCAGGAGGCGUAUCGGUUUGCUGAGUAUGACAGAAGUGAUCACAGCUUGUACCGGAUGGAAGCGAGGGAUCCACUGGGUGAACCCGGUAUGCAUGAACCCGUUGGGGGGUAAUCUGCGUAGUUUCGCCCAAAUGGAGGAGUUUAGGGAUUGCUUGGCCGACUGCAGCCUAGCGGACAUGGGCUUCUCGGGUUUCCCUUAUACUUGGGAUAACAUGAGGGAUGGCAGUGACAAUGUCAAGCUUGCGGAUGCUAGGCUGCAUGCCGCCCAAACUGGUUAUAACCAGGUGACGCGGGAGAUUGAGGACCAGCUUCGAGAGACCUACGAGCGGGAGGAGAUCAUGUACAGACACAGGUCUCGGGUUGAUUGGCUUCAGGCGGGGGACCAAAAUACAAAGUACUUUCAGGCUAGGGCUACCCAUAGAAGGAGGGAAAACACGGUUAAAGCCCUUGUUAAAGAAGAUGGUUCUCGCUCGGUUGUGAAUGAGGAUAUGCGCGAAGUUGCGGCAUCUUUCUAUGAGCAGCUGUUUUCUUCAGAGGGCUCGGCUGGGGCGCAAGAGGUGUUAAGCAACAUCGACCCAGCGGUCUUUGAUGAUAUGAAUGCUAAACUCACUGCUCCUUUUUCUGAUCAGAAGAUUGAAACUGCUUUGUUUCAAAUGGGCCCAACUAAGGCACCCGACCCAGACGGGAUACCGACCUUGUUCUAUCAGCGCCACUGGGCGCUUGUCAAGGAAGAUGUCUAUGCUGCAAUAAAGGAUUUCCUGAAUGGGGCUGCUACUCCAAACUCUUUUAGUGCCACAGUGAUUGUCAUGAUACCCAAAAUAAGUUCUCCGGAGUCAAUGUCUCAGUUCAGGCCUAUAAGUCUAUGUAAUUCGCACUAUAAACUUGCAACAAAGGUCCUGGCUAAUAGACUGAAGAUUAUUUUACCUUUUCUCAUCUCUGAAGAACAAAGUGCAUUUGUCCCGGGACAUCUUAUUACUGAUAAUGUGCUGGUUGCCUACGAAUGUGUGCAUGCGGUCCGAACUAGGAAGAAGAAGAAGUCUUUGUGCGGUGAAGCUAGAUAUGAUGAAGGCCUAUGACAGGGUUGAGUGGCCUCUUCUUGA